CAGCCGCCGCGGUAAUACGGAGGGUGCAAGCGUUAUCCGGAUUUAUUGGGUUUAAAGGGUCCGUAGGCGGAUCUGUAAGUCAGUGGUGAAAUCUCACAGCUUAACUGUGAAACUGCCAUUGAUACUGCAGGUCUUGAGUAAAUUUGAAGUGGCUGGAAUAAGUAGUGUAGCGGUGAAAUGCAUAGAUAUUACUUAGAACACCAAUUGCGAAGGCAGGUCACUAAGAUUUAACUGACGCUGAUGGACGAAAGCGUGGGGAGCGAACAGGAUUAGAUACCCCAGUAGUCCCUGUCUCUUAUAA
rnacentral:rRNA from 1 species